UACGUAGGUGGCAAGCGUUGUCCGGAAUUAUUGGGCGUAAAGCGCGCGCAGGCGGUCCUUUAAGUCUGAUGUGAAAGCCCACGGCUCAACCGUGGAGGGUCAUUGGAAACUGGGGGACUUGAGUGCAGAAGAGGAGAGCGGAAUUCCACGUGUAGCGGUGAAAUGCGUAGAGAUGUGGAGGAACACCAGUGGCGAAGGCGGCUCUCUGGUCUGUAACUGACGCUGAGGCGCGAAAGCGUGGGGGGCAAACAGG
rnacentral:rRNA from 1 species